rnacentral:rRNA from 1 species
CUUAGAGUUUGAUCCUGGCUCAGAUUGAACGCUGGCGGUAUGCUUUACACAUGCAAGUCGAACGGAUUAAAGAGCUUGCUCUUUAGUUAGUGGCGAACGGGUGAGUAAUAUAUCGGAACAUAUCCGGAAGUGGGGGAUAACGUAGCGAAAGUUACGCUAAUACCGCAUAUGCCCUGAGGGGGAAAGGGGGGGAUCGCAAGACCUCUCGCUUUCGGAGUGGCCGAUAUCGGAUUAGCUAGUAGGUGAGGUAAAGGCUCACCUAGGCGACGAUCCGUAGCUGGUCUGAGAGGACGACCAGCCACACUGGAACUGAGACACGGUCCAGACUCCUACGGGAGGCAGCAGUGGGGAAUUUUGGACAAUGGGCGAAAGCCUGAUCCAGCCAUACCGCGUGAGUGAAGAAGGCCUUCGGGUUGUAAAGCUCUUUCAGCCGGAAAGAAAUUGCUUCUAUUAAUACUAGGAGUAGAUGACGGUACCGGAAGAAGAAGCACCGGCUAACUACGUGCCAGCAGCCGCGGUAAUACGUAGGGUGCGAGCGUUAAUCGGAAUUACUGGGCGUAAAGCGUGCGCAGGCGGUUUUUUAAGUCAGAUGUGAAAUCCCCGGGCUCAACCUGGGAACUGCAUUUGAAACUGGAAGACUAGAGUAUAGCAGAGGGGGGUAGAAUUCCACGUGUAGCAGUGAAAUGCGUAGAUAUGUGGAGGAAUACCAAUGGCGAAGGCAGCCCCCUGGGUUAAUACUGACGCUCAUGCACGAAAGCGUGGGGAGCAAACAGGAUUAGAUACCCUGGUAGUCCACGCCCUAAACGAUGUCAACUAGGUGUUGGGGGAGGAGACUUCCUUAGUACCGUAGCUAACGCGUGAAGUUGACCGCCUGGGGAGUACGGUCGCAAGAUUAAAACUCAAAGGAAUUGACGGGGACCCGCACAAGCGGUGGAUUAUGUGGAUUAAUUCGAUGCAACGCGAAAAACCUUACCUACCCUUGACAUGUCAGAAAGAUCGCAAAGAUGUGAUUGUGCUCGAAAGAAAAUCUGAACACAGGUGCUGCAUGGCUGUCGUCAGCUCGUGUCGUGAGAUGUUGGGUUAAGUCCCGCAACGAGCGCAACCCUUGGCAUUAAUUGCCAUCAUUUAGUUGGGCAUUUAAUGAAACUGCCGGUGAUAAACCGGAAGGAAGGUGGGAAUAACCUCAAGUCCUCA